rnacentral:rRNA from 1 species
GUCUACAGCCAUGCCACCCUGAACACGCCCGAUCCCGUUGAUCUUGGAAGCUAAGCAGGGUCGGGCCUGGUUAGUACUUGGAUGGGAGACCACCUAGGAAGACCUGAUGCUGUAGGCG